GAUGAACGCUGGCGGCGUGCUUAACACAUGCCAGUCGAACGGAAAGGCCCUGCUUGCAGGGUACUCUAGUGUCGAACGGGUGAGUAACACGUGGGUGUUCUGCCCUGUACUUUUGGAUAAGCCUUGGAAACUGUGUCUAAUACCGAAUAUGACAAUUGUUUGGAUGCGAUUGUGGAUAGCUUUUUCGGUAUGGGAUGAGCUCGCGGCCUAUCAGCUUGUUGGUUGGGUAAUGGCCUACCAAGGCGUCGACUGGUAGCCGGCCUGAGAGGGUGUACGGCCACAUUGGGACUGAGAGACGGACCAGAAUCCUACGGGGGGCAGCAGUGGGGAAUAUUGCACAAUGGGGGCAAGCCUGAGGCAGAGACGCCGCGUGGGGGAUGACGGCGUUCGGGUUGUAAACUCCUUUCGCAACCGACGAAGCCUUUUGGUGACGGUAGGUUGAGAAGAAGCACCGGCUAACUACGUG
rnacentral:rRNA from 1 species